rnacentral:rRNA from 1 species
AUUGAACGCUAGCGGCAUGCCUUACACAUGCAAGUCGAACGGAGUGGCGAACGGGUGAUUAAUGUAUGGGAAGUUACCCAGUAGCGAGGGAUCACUCCGCGACAGCGUAGCUAAUACCGCAUACUAUUGAAGCGCCUUCUAUCGGAUUAGCUAGUUGGUGCGGUAACGGCUAACCAAGUUGACGAUCCGUAGCUGGUUUGAGAGGACGACCAGCCACACUGGGACUGAGACACGGCCCAGACUCCUACGGGAGGCAGCAGUGGGGAAUUUUGGGCAAUGGGGGAAACCCUGAUCGAGCCAUCCCGCGUGUGCGAUGAAGGCCUUCGGGUUGUAAAGCUCUGUUGGCAGGGAAGCGGUACCUGAAGAAUAAGCACCGGCUAACUACGUGCCAGCAGCCGCGGUAAUAC